AGCCCCGUGGUGAGAGCAUAUUGGAUUGCAAAUCCAAAGACGCAGAUUAAUUGUCUGCCGGGGCUU
rnacentral:tRNA from 1 species